rnacentral:rRNA from 1 species
UACGUAGGGUGCAAGCGUUAAUCGGAAUUACUGGGCGUAAAGCGUGCGCAGGCGGUGAUGUAAGACAGACGUGAAAUCCCCGGGCUCAACCUGGGAACUGCAUUUGUGACUGCAUCGCUGGAGUACGGCAGAGGGGGAUGGAAUUCCGCGUGUAGCAGUGAAAUGCGUAGAUAUGCGGAGGAACACCGAUGGCGAAGGCAAUCCCCUGGGCCUGUACUGACGCUCAUGCACGAAAGCGUGGGGAGCAAACAGG